UGGGCAUAAAAAGAAUGGCAGUCAGUGAGCUGUUUACCAAAGAUGUAGAGUUUUCAUUAAUUUCAGUUUGUUUUAUUUGGCUUUUAUUUUGUUAAUUGGAAACAUUUAAAUAUUUUUUAUUAGUAGGGAAAUAACAAUUGAGGAUCAAACAUAUAGAUGUCAGAUGCAAAACUGAGAAAGGUUUCCCGUAAAAGUCAUCAGCGAGAAGCAGACAAAGCAGGUUUGCAGAGUAAGCAACUGAAGGACCACAAGAACGUGAAAUCUAUAAGGACUCCAAAAGAUAUUAAUGUCAAUCAGGCUAAUAACCCAAAUUACUGAGGAAACUAAUGCAACAGAUGACAAUAUUCUGCAUUUAAAAGAUGGACUUAAGGAUCAGAGGUGGGAUAGUCCCACAGUGGCCAUCUUCAGGCAAGAUCCAGGGAAACCAGUAGCUGCUCAGUCCAUGAAGCUGAAGCCCCAGGAUGAGAGAAACCAAUGAUGCAGCUGUGCCUGGAGCUGAAAGCCUGGAAGCUCUCUGGGGAGGUGCUAGUGUCGGUCCAUGUUCAAAGGAUGAAAAAUGUGGAGGCUGAUGAUUGUGACACCAUGGUAGCAGCAAAGACACAAGAAGAGUCAAAGAACCAAUCAAGCAUGCUUGUGAGCAUCCUCCUUCUUCCCCUUUUAACUCCAUCUGGGCCCAGCCUGCUGGAUGGUGCCACCCACAUUCAGAGCAGGUCCUGCCCCCUCGGUUCACUGGAUACAUGCCAAUCAUCUCUGCAGACACCCUCACAGAUGCACCCAGAAGUGGGCUUUAGCAGUUUCCUAGGUGUCUCUCAAUCCAGUCAAGUUGACAGCCAUAAUUAAGCACAACACUUACUUGAGAAGACAGCACAUGAAGAAAAACAACAUGUGAAAGUGGAUAAUAAAUAUAAAAGAGCUGCCAUAUUUUGAUAUUAAGGAGAAACAAGGGGAAAAAUUGCUAAGAGUCAUGCAAGAUAAGUCCCUAGAGGUUUGAAGAAAUGAAUAAAGUGCCUGGGCAAUUAUGCUUUCUUUAAACUAGUCUUUCAGUGACUAUCAACAUGUUUGCAGUAAGAGCCAUUCUGAGAGGUAGCAGGUGUCUACUCUCAGGUACGUGUGUUCUGUGUGGUCAAAUCUUGUAAUUGUUCAAACAUCCGUGCUUUGGGUGAGCGAGAAAGAGUGUAAAAUUUAUAUUUAUAGGACAUUCAAAUAAGGUGAUGGAUUUGGAAUCUCUUUAUAAAUAUGCUUUUCAAACCUGUGUUGCUAUUAUUAUUUUUGAAAUUUCAAUACUAAAAAUUUUAAUCAUUAAUAAUACUCAUAUAUACAAUAUCUUUCAAGCACCUGAUAUUGUUCAAUUUUUAUCUAAUCUUUUUUU